AUUGAACGCUGGCGGCAUGCCUUACACAUGCAAGUCGAACGGCAGCACGGGUGCUUGCACCUGGUGGCGAGUGGCGAACGGGUGAGUAGUACAUCGGAACGUACCUUAUCGUGGGGGAUAACGCAGCGAAAGUUGCGCUAAUACCGCAUACGCCCUGAGGGGUAAAGCGGGGGACCGUAAGGCGUCGCGCGAUUAGAGCGGCCGAUGUCUGAUUAGCUUGUUGGUGAGGUAAAAGCUCACCAAGGCGAUGAUCAGUAGCUGGUCUGAGAGGACGAUCAGCCACACUGGGACUGAGACACGGCCCAGACUCCUACGGGAGGCAGCAGUGGGGAAUUUUGGACAAUGGGGGCAACCCUGAUCCAGCAAUGCCGCGUGAGUGAAGAAGGCCUUCGGGUUGUAAAGCUCUUUUGUCAGGGAAGAAACAGCAGCUCUAACACAGUCUGCGAAUGACGGUAUCUGAAGAAUAAGCACCGGCUAACUACGUGCCAGCAGCCGCAGUAA
rnacentral:rRNA from 1 species